AAGUGAAUCAGGACAUGUUAUUUACUCCUUCACAUCAUGCAAGAACCAGGGGGUCACCCAAUGGUAUUAAUAGGCAACAAGGUUUGAAAUAUACAUAAGGAAGUAUUUCUUCACACAA